GGGAGGCGACAGUUAGGAAUCUUCGGCAAUGGGCGAAAGCCUGACCGGGCGCCGCCGCGUGAAGGAUGCAGGCCCUCGGGUCGUAAACUUCUCAAAGUCGGGACGCUAGUGACGGUACCUCUUGUAAAAGCACCGGCUCACUCCGUGCCAGCAGCCACGGUAAUA
rnacentral:rRNA from 1 species